AUGGCGCCGCCGCGUGUGCGGGAGCCGGGGGAGAUGUACGAGCUCGUGGAGGAGGUCCUGAUCCGCAUCCCGCCGGACGACCCCGCGGGCCUCAUCCGCGCCUCCCUCGUCUGCAAGGCUUGGUGCGGCCUCGUCUCCGGCCACGCCUUUCGCAGCCACUACCGCGUCUUCCACAAAACACCUCCCAUCCUAGGCUUCCUACAGAGCUGGGAGGAGGAAGGCCAGCGCUUCGUCCCCACCACAAGAUUCCGUCCCCGCAAUUGCAAGCCGUUGGACAGUUCUGUGCUCGGUUGCCGCCAUGGCCGCGUUCUUCUUAUGUGUUACUACGAUGGGUAUGCGGAUGCGGAUGAGAAUGAGGAGGAAGAUUAUUACGAGGAAUAUGAAGCGAUGGUAGUCUGGGACCCCUUGUCUGGGAGACGAACUAAGUUGCACAAUCCUGACAUCUUCAACCCCCUCAUCAACGGGACAAACUAUUCGGCCACGGUGCUCUGCGCGGCAGAUGGCUGCAACCAUGACGCCUGCAACUUGGCCCCAUUUUUGGUGGCUUUUGUUGUCCUUGACUACAAAGUGACCGAAAGAAGGCCGUGUGGGCGUCUGUAUACUCAUCAGAGACCCAGGAGUGGACCUCACCGGCCUCUAUUCACGUCGGCUCUGUUGGAACACUUGGAGCCGGUAUGGCCUGGUGUCCUCGUUGGACAAGCGCUCCACUUCCUCAUUGAUCGUUAUGAGGGGGACGGUUGUAUUAUCAAGUGUGACUUGGGUAGUCAUCGCCUAUCACUCUGUGUGUGUUUAUGCGAAACCCUCUCCUCAUUUUGUCAGAAGACGGUAGGCUAG
rnacentral:rRNA from 1 species